rnacentral:rRNA from 1 species
AGGGAAAGAGGGAGGAAGGAGGGAAAAAGGGAAGGAGAAAGGGAGAGAGGGCUUCGGAGGGGAGGAGAGGGGAGAACGGGUGAGUAAUGAAUCGGAACGGGAAGAGUAGUGGGGGAUAGCUCGGAGAAAGAGGGAUUAAUACAGCAUAAGAAAUGAGGGUGAAAGCGGGGGAACGAAAGGCCUCGCGCUAUUGGAGAGGCCGAUGUCGGAUUAGCUAGUUGGUGGGGUAAAGGCUUACCACGGCGACGAUCCGUAGCUGGUCUGAGAGGACGACCAGCCACACUGAGACUGAGACACGACCCAGACUCCUACGGGAGGCAGCAGUGGGGAAUUUUGGACAAUGGGGGCAACCCUGAUCCAGCCAUGCCGCGUGCGGGAAGAAGGCCUUCGGGUUUUAACCCUCUUUUCUUCUAUACGAAAUCCUCUGGGCUAAUACCCCGGGGGGAUGACUGUACCGGAAGAAUAAGCACCAGCUCCCUACGUC